rnacentral:lncRNA from 1 species
GUCCCAGGCAAUGACUACCGGAGAUCUGCGAACGCAACGUAUGACGUAACAACUUGAUUUUACCCAAAAGUCCUGACUUUCAAAAUGGCGGAUUAAGCAUUUCGCGCCAAUUUGAGUUCGUCGGCGAUCCAUCGCAGAAGCGUCGCGGAUCCACUGGAACAGAUCGCCGAACGUUGUCAGUUGCAACCGGCGACUACGUCGCAGGCAGGUCGGCUGUAUAUGAGAACCGGGCUUAUAUGGGCUAUAUAGGUAUAUGCGGCCUCAAAGGGUAUGGUUUUUCAGCCGUUUUGGUCAUAAAUAGCCGGGGUAUAGAGUUUUUAGGAGUAUGUGUAUUCUAGUUCUUCCUCUUGGCCGGAGAACUAUGGGAUCAUCUGUUCGCACCCGAGAUGCAUGGGACUGUAUGUAUGGGACCAUCUAUGCCCAAAAUUGUAGGGAGGCUAUGUUUUUUAAAGUGGCCGUUGUCGAGAGUUGAGGGCUAGUGGGAGCUGGUACUGUACUCGUGGUUCGCACAUGUCGUACCGUUAAUUUUGUUCAACGGAUUGAUAGAGAAAAAUUGACAUUCGCAAUCUAGUGGGUUUACGGAGGCGGCUGAAUACCGGAGGUGAACAGGAUUGCAGCUAGCCUGUGAAUACGGUUGCCUCUGCGCGGAUACCAUGUAACCCAGCAAACACUGAAAAGGUCAUUUAUUUUUUUCCCCAAGAUCUGAACCUAUUAGGGGAAGAAAAAAAACGCGCCGCAAAACUUGAUGCUGGCACUUUCAUGGUAUUCCUUUCAACAGUUUCCUAAAAUCAAACAAACAAGCAGUCUACAAGCGUUCUACAUUUAUAAUGUUCGCAAGAGGAUGAGCCGAAGUUUUUUGUGUCUUGUUGAAUAACUAAAUCUUAAACUCUUUGAUAAUGGUGGAAUUUGGUGAUCCACAGUUUUUGGGGACGGCUUGCCCUCCCCCACCUCUUCCACGUGCUACGCAGACAGCCCCUCUCCCUCUCCUCUCCCUCUCCUUCCCGUCUUCCAACCGCUUUUUCCCUCUGAUCUUUGCGGGCGCAGUUCGUCUCCGCCAUCUUGCACGUGUGAAAGGUAAAUAGUGGAAAAUUGUGUUUACCGUAAUUUCAAAGUUUUUUUUUUUGCAUGUUGAAGCCAUAUUGUGGAAUGAGGAGAUGUUGUGUUUGAAGACCUCCGGAGGAAUGGACGCAUAAGGUUUUAGGACUUUGUUUGUCUAAACAUCCAAAUGCCAUUUUCUCCUGAAGCAAUACAACACAAGCUUGGCUUACAUGUAGUUGUAGAACCAGCUAGGAAAGCAGACUUUUAGUGAGGAAGUGAUAAGUUCUCCGAUCAUUAAGCACCUUGUUUAAGUUUACUAUGAUACAAAUAAACUUUAGUAGAUGUUUUAAUUUUAGCAAUAGGAAUAAGCUUAACCUCAAUUCUAUAUGGAUUUAUUUUAAAAGUCAUUGCUGUGUUCCAA